UGGGAAAAAUCAUUCCAGCGG
rnacentral:piRNA from 1 species